rnacentral:rRNA from 1 species
UACGUAGGGUGCGAGCGUUAAUCGGAAUUACUGGGCGUAAAGCGUGCGCAGGCGGUUUGUUAAGCCAGAUGUGAAAGCCCCGGGCUCAACCUGGGAACUGCGUUUGGUACUGGCAAGCUAGAGUACGGCAGAGGGGGGUGGAAUUCCACGUGUAGCAGUGAAAUGCGUAGAGAUGUGGAGGAAUACCGAUGGCGAAGGCAGCCCCCUGGGAUAAUACUGACGCUCAUGCACGAAAGCGUGGGGAGCAAACAGG